rnacentral:lncRNA from 1 species
CAUUAACCUUUAGAAAGUUCACCACCGGUGGUGACCAUCGAGACACCACUUUAGCCGUACAAUGCUCUGGACGUCUAAUUAUCAAUUGAGCAUGUCCCUAGCCCUCAAGAAAAUCAGUAGCAGAUUUAACAAUGCAAGUUGGAUUAGAAACCAUAGAAUCCCAAACCUUUUUAUUAGUGGAGAACUAGAUACUCCAACAGACAGAGAGAAGGAGACUACAAUCAUCAAUAGAGAACCUAGUGAAACAGAGAGAUUUCUAUUCAAAGAUGAUGCCUCCCUAGCCCUCAAGCUCGCCAUGCAAGAUUUGUCAUCUUUGCAGGAACCUUCAGCGACCACAACUUCUUCCAGUCAACAUAUUCUAAAGUAAUCACAGAAGGGUAAGGUUGAGGACUGAUCAAUGGAUAAGCACUACGUAUUGAGUAGCGACUUGUCUCCUUUCCUGUCUAAACAACUUUAUCCUCGACCCUCAGCAAAGACAAAGGAAUCUGCAUAAUUAACUCUCUAUCACGAUCGUUAAACACUCUGCUAAUAAGAUUAAAAUUCCACCCCCAGUUACUGAGUCACAUAAAUCCCCACAUGAUUCACGGCAGCUCCCGCAAUAGGCUCAGUUGUAACACACAGAUUAAGCGCAUC